rnacentral:rRNA from 1 species
CAGCAGCCACGGUAAUACGUAGGUGGCAAGCGUUGUCCGGAAUUAUUGGGCGUAAAGGGCUCGCAGGCGGUUUCUUAAGUCUGAUGUGAAUGCCCCCGGCUCAACCGGGGAGGGUCAUUGGAAACUGGGAAACUUGAGUGCAGAAGAGGAGAGUGGAAUUCCACGUGCAGCGGUGAAAUGCGUAGGGAUGUGGAGGAACACCAGUGGCGAAGGCGACUCUCUGGUCUGUAACUGACGCUGAGGAGCGAAAGCGUGGGGAGCGAGCAGGAUUAGAUACCCCAGUAGUCCCUGUCUCUUAUAA